rnacentral:rRNA from 1 species
GACGAACGCUGGCGGCGUGCUUAACACAUGCAAGUCGAACGGAAAGGCCCUGCUUUUGUGGGGUGCUCGAGUGGCGAACGGGUGAGUAACACGUGAGUAACCUGCCCUUGACUUUGGGAUAACUUCAGGAAACUGGGGCUAAUACCGGAUAGGAGCUCCUGCUGCAUGGUGGGGGUUGGAAAGUUUCGGCGGUUGGGGAUGGACUCGCGGCUUAUCAGCUUGUUGGUGGGGUAGUGGCUUACCAAGGCUUUGACGGGUAGCCGGCCUGAGAGGGUGACCGGCCACAUUGGGACUGAGAUACGGACCAGACUCCUACGGGAGGCAGCAGUGGGGAAUAUUGCACAAUGGGCGGAAGCCUGAUGCAGCAACGCCGCGUGCGGGAUGAAGGCCUUCGGGUUGUAAACCGCUUUCGCCUGUGACGAAGCGUGAGUGACGGUAAUGGGUAAAGAAGCACCGGCUAACUACGUG